rnacentral:rRNA from 1 species
AUAGUGGGGGAGUAGCCCUUCGAAAGGAAGAUUAAUACCGCAUAAGAUUGUAGUAUCGCAUGAUAUAGCAAUUAAAGGAGCAAUUCGCUAUAAGAUGGACCCGCGUCGCAUUAGCUAGUUGGUGAGGUAAUGGCUCACCAAGGCGACGAUGCGUAGCCGACCUGAGAGGGUGAUCGGCCACAUUGGGACUGAGACACGGCCCAGACUCCUACGGGAGGCAGCAUG